UACAUCCAUGCCCAUGGACUCAUUGGCAUUUUCAGUCCAGAAUGGCGGCAAUGCUACCGCAGCGCCAUCUAGCUGCUGUUGUCAAAAAAGCACCAGAGUUUCAUCUCUUUGCUUCUC